GGUCGGCGCGGCCCGGCGCUGGAGCUAGGCGGCCGGACUGGCAGGGGCGGCGUGCCGCGCGGGACCCUCACUGGGGAAGGUGGGGGGUCGGGGCCGCCUCCGCCCCGGGCCGCACGUCCGAAGACCGGAGGAGGGGACUGCGCACGCCACCAAGAGGGCGCACAGCCGAGGCUGGACGAUGCGCGGUUUCGGAGCAGGGUUUCCUGCCCAGGGAGCCCGGCUGCGCUCGAGGGGACCCCGAAGUCACCGGCAGGGUCGGAGCUCGGUGCACCACGCCCCCCCUCUGCGCCCGGGGCCUCUGCGGGGACAGAGGUCUCAGGAAAGUAGCCUUUAUUUAUGUGGCACCGAUCGGAACCCGCGGCCGGCCAGGCGGACCUGGACGGAGCGUCCCUGCUCGGAACCUGGCGCGGGGCGCCGCGCGCUCGUGUGGCGCCUCGGCCUCCCCACCGUUCAGUCCCCGGAGGCACGGAGCUCGCGGCGGGACGAUGACGGUUGGGCCGGGCCAGGCGUGGGAGACUCCCAGACUCCGGCCCGCCGGGACGGCCAGCUGCGUCACCUUGGACGUGGGCAAUACUUCGGAGCCUCGGUUAUGUCGCCUGUAACCUGAGGACAACGGCCUGGAAGGGGCUCAGGUGACACGGCGGCCCUCACUGGGGCCGAUUUAGCCGGUCUGCCGCCCCUCCGCGCCGGACCGCCAGGCGGGGUACCAGGGAAACUGCGAUGCGCCGGCUUGCGAGCCCACCGUGACGCAGAG
rnacentral:lncRNA from 1 species